CAACAAUCCAACAUUGUAGUGAUGAGUCUUCCUACAGGAUGAUGUUCAUAGAUUUUCCUCAUUUUACAUUUAUGUCAUGAAAGAAAUCUUGUGAUUUUGACAAUUCCUGAACAAGUAGACAUAACCUUUCCCCCCACACACACACAAUGGCUAAUUUUACCCUAAUGCAUUUCACGAUCUAUUCCAUUUUUGAUGGAAGUCUGAAUUCUCUAUCCUAGGGCCUUGGAUUGGGAUGCUGGGCGAGACAUGUCCUAACCUGCAUAUGUUUUGUUAAGGCCAUCCCAACGGGGUGUCUGCUUGGACGUGCUCAACCACCCUUGGUGUGAGACCCUCACCGGCGAUGAGAAAGCCCUGCCUGCCCCAGCCCUUGCUGUGUUUCCAUCUGUAGCCACAGCUUGAAGGGAAUCGUCUCCGUACAGAACCCUAUAUUCUGCUGAUGCAGACGCAGGACUCCCCGAACGACUGUGUGCA
rnacentral:lncRNA from 12 species